CCCCUCUCAGGAUCACACUUGGAGAGUCUCCAGGAUUCUACAAGUCUCGGUUAUAGGAGGGAGAGUCAAGCAGAGGCAUACCGAUUCCAUUCCUAGCUUGGGCACUGGCUAGCGAGUGGAAGGCAAUCUGCUAAAGGU